rnacentral:rRNA from 1 species
AUACGUAGGGGGCGAGCGUUGUCCGGAAUGAUUGGGCGUAAAGGGCGCGUAGGCGGCCCGGUAAGUCUGGAGUGAAAGUCCUGUUUUUAAGAUGGGAAUUGCUUUGGAUACUGUCGGGCUUGAGUGCAGGAGAGGUAAGUGGAAUUCCCAGUGUAGCGGUGAAAUGCGUAGAGAUUGGGAGGAACACCAGUGGCGAAGGCGAAUUACUGGACUGUAACUGACGCUGAGGCGCGAAAUUGUGGGGAGCAAACAGGAUUAGAUACCCUGGUAGUCCACACUGUAAACGAUGAAUGCUAGGUGUAGGGGGUAUCGACCCCUUCUGUGCCGCAGUCAACACAAUAAGCAUUCCGCCUGGGGAGUACGGCCGCAAGGUUGAAACUCAAAUGAAUUGACGGGG